GCAUCAGGAGGCAGUGUCAGGACAAUUCUUGGGAGUGUGGUGGGAGUUUCGGGCUAGAGCCGUCCGGGCCUGACCGCUGAGCGUGGGCACCGAUGCCACCGCCAGAGGAAGGGACGGCGAAGUGGGGAACCGGGGUGCAGGCGAUGAGUGACUUGGGGGAGUAAGUGAGAAGCGGCGAGCGGAGGGGGCGGAGCAAGAGGAGGAAGGAGAAGGCUGGAGGGGAGAUCCGCGAAGAGAAGUGAGGGCCCGCAGGGGAAGAGAGACAUCAGGUCAACGUGUAAGCUGAGUACACCCAACUAGAAGAGAAGCAAAGACAGCAUCAUCAUGGCGUCAGUGUCUACCCAUGGAAACCAAGAUAAACCGCAUUUGCCACCACUAAGCAAGCAGCAUCCAGCCUAACCAAACCUUACCUAGGCUGUCAAUGAUCGAAGAGGUUUCCCUCAGCGGAGCAAAACUCUUCGUUGACUCUAACAGAAUGACGUGUGGUGAUGCUUGUUUUCACAUGUUUGUUACCAAGGCCAACCUUACCAAACCUAUGCCGCAGACCGGAGUUGCCGCUCAGGAGAGCAGAGGCCUGAACUACUAAAUUAGCCAUCAGGUUGAGAACCCAACUUUUCAAUUUGUUAAGAAUGAAUAUGAGGUGUUUCAGGGAUACUUAAAGGAAGAAGAGAGAAAGUAUUGUGAUGGGUCAAUGAAGUUCAUGUUCUCUGGGGUCAACUUUUGAAGCUAAAAAUAGUUCCUGGAGGAAAUGAUGUUUAAGGAGCAAAGUUUAGGAGAGGCAAGCAGACAAAUGAUAUCAAGUCACAAGGAGAAGUAUGUAGACACCUGAGUUGCCUUUGUGAAAUGGAGAGCCAUAAAACAUUUAUGGGUACAGAGAAAAGGCUCGCCAGGGCUCCUCUGGGAGGCUGUGCAGGAGUUCAGUCUUGACGGCAGGACUCGCAAUUAUUGUGAAGUCGGGUCCCUGACCCUGGAUGUGUGUGUGUGUGUGUGUGUGUGUGUGUGUGUGUGUGUGUGUUUGGAGGAAAGGAGAAAGGGAGGUGUUCCUAUUGCUGCCUCAGCCCAGGCAGAACCAAGAAGAGAUACUUACACUGGGAUAAGGAGGAGUGCUUGCUGAGGAAAUAAAGUGAGUAGAGAGUGAGAACAGUUCCUUCCUGUCACUGUGACUCGCCCUGACCACCACUCCGUGUACUGUGCUGUGGGGAGCUGCAGAGAAAGAGAGAGGUGUCCUGCUUCGGUUGCUUGUAAAGCUCUGAGGGCAAAGGUGCCACAGGGUCCUUUGACCUUGUAAUCAAGUAUGUAAAGUGCUUAGCCCCUGGGAGAGAGCUCAAGAAAUGGUGAUCACUGCCCGGCUGGUGUGGUUCAGUGGCUAAGCAUCAACCCAUGCAUCCAGAGGUCACCUGUUGGAUUCCCAGUCAGGGCAUAUGCCCGGG